AAUUAUCCAUUCCCUUUGCGUCCAUACCCGUUUCAGUAUAAUUUGCUUUUGAAACAAGACAGGAAAAAUAAAACUCUUCUCUCCUGGCUUUUGCUGAAAGUUAAAAUUGAAGCUCUGCCCUGUUUUCUCUUCGCUCGAUCCGUCAAUUUCUUGGCUUCUCCCUCCUUCCCUCCGCGACUGUUACUCCUUCUAGUCCUUCGAUUUCUGUUAGGUACCAAACCCUAGACCAAAUAUUUGAUAUGUAUAUAUGUGUAUUAGGUUAUGUUUGAAUCUUUGGCACGUGGUUUUUCUUCUUUUUUACCUUUUUAAUUUUGACUGUAAUAUAAAAGAUUAGUAUGUUGAAUACUUCAAUCUAUAUGUGACUUUGUUGUUUUGGUUUUGUAAAAAUAUAAAUUAAAAAAAAGAGAACUUUGUUGUUCUGAGAAUUGUAGAUUGCAUAUCGUGAAGUAAAAAUGGCUUUGUAUCUAUGUAAGCUUUUGAACAUAGACUGAUGAUGAAUUCUGAAUUAUGUAUGUACUCUGCUGCAGUUAGUGUCUAUUGAUCAUGGUUUGGAAAACAGCCGAGGACUUUUAAUUUUUUGUUCAUCUGGUGUAGCUAACCUCAUUUUUUACACAGUUGAAAUAGGCCUUUUUUGGGUGAAGUUGGUUUCUCAGUGAAUGUAUGUAUUGGCCAUCGCAUGACUAUGUAAUUGUAUUUAGGUGAAGAGGGUAACUUCGUAUCAUAAAUUUGGUAAGUUUGUAUUAUAUAUAGCAAUAAAUGUUGUGGAAGAAUAUUAAUUUUUCCACUUUGGGUUGUUGUAAAUCUGAGUGUUAAGUCCAUUACCUGUACUAGUAAGUAGUAACUAAGAAAGGUAUGUUUGGAGAAGAUGAUAUUGAGGAGAUGUACUAGCUAUAUUAAAAAUCUGUCUUGGAAAAAAGUUGGCAGGGAAGACGGAUGGGGAAAUCAAUUACAAUUCAUGAGUUGAUAUACCUUUGUAAGGAGCAGUAUUAUGUGUUGGAGCUUGUGUAUAAGAAUAUGAUAUCUUCAAAUACAUAUUCCCUAGCAAUUAACAGGACUAUGAUAUUUCUGAUAAAUGAGGACAAAAGGAGUAUGUUACAAGAGCUGAGCACAAAUGGACUUAAUAAUAAUUAAAGUGUUUGGUCCUUAAGCGAUAAGGUUGCAUCUUUUUAUGCAUAGUUGGUGCAAAUAUAUGUUAAGAAUUUUUUUGUUUGUUAAUGGUUGUUAAUAUUAUACUAUGUAUUUUGGUAGCGUGAGUAUCAUGUCUCAUGUUAUAUUAUUAUUUGGUGUUUAUGGAUUAGAUAGAAAGUGAAGGAAUAAAGGGAUCGGAAAAACUUCAAAUAAGGGGUAGGGGCAAGGGGUAUGGGGAGGGGAGAUAAACACAUCGUGUGUCUAAUUGAAGAAUAUGAUAAAAUAUUAAAUCGAAAUAUUUAUAGAUUUGAUUUGAAUUAACCCCUGGUGUAUUUUAUGUAAUCUUUUCUUGUAAUUAAGUUAUUAUUCUUAUCACAAACAAACAUACAAGUUCAAGAUAUUUAUUCUUAUCAAAAACAAACACACUGAAACUGAGUAUCUGUUGUGGUACCAUUUUGGCUGAAUUACCCACAUCUCUUCUGUAUUCUUUAUUUUGACUAAUUGCAAUGCAAUUACAAGUGUUUCAAUUUGCUUGGAAACUUAGGUAGUCCUAAUUCGUUUGAAACUGCAGUUUUAGAUUUUGUAUAUACCUUUUUCUUCUCUGUUUAGGUUUAUAAAGAUAGCCAUGUCACUGGUGAUUGAUCAGUUGGAUCGGGAAGCGUAAAUUAACUCUAGGACAGGAUCUUCUACAUCAAUUUCAAUAAUCUGUCCUUGUUGAUAAUGAUUUCCUGUUUUCAUAUCAAUUAUAAUAAUCUCCCAAGACACCAACAAUAGUGAAUUCUGUUCAGGUUCAUUUCAACGUCUGUACGGCAAAUGAGUUAAAGCCACUGCUACGUUAAUAGUAAGAAUCACUUCCAUUAGAUGGAAAUGUCUAUCAGUAUUUCUUUGAAGUGUUAUGACAGAUCAAUUUAUAAGCAAUCAUUACCAUAUUACAAGCAUAAUCAACACAUUUUCAUGAUGACCAUGAUAUGAUAUUGAAUCAAUGUAUCUUUUUAUUAAUUUUUUUUAGUAAUCUUUACAUUUUAUUUUAAUUUAUAAGUCAUUAUCAGCCGAACACCUUCAUAACUUGUUUUAACUUAAUUUCUGACUUAUAAUUCAAAUUGAUGUCGAACGCUUUUACUUAUAAGUCACCGC
rnacentral:lncRNA from 1 species